rnacentral:rRNA from 1 species
GACGAAGGGGGGCUAGCGUUGUUCGGAAUUACUGGGCGUAAAGCGAGUGUAGGUGGUUGUCACAGUCAGGUGUGAAAGCCUUGAGCUCAACUCAAGAAAUGCACUUGAUACUAGGCGACUAGAGGACCGGAGAGGAUAGUGGAAUUCCCAGUGUAGUGGUGAAAUACGUAGAGAUUGGGAAGAACACCAGUGGCGAAGGCGGCUAUCUGGACGGUUUCUGACACUAAGACUCGAAAGCGUGGGGAGGCAAACAGG